rnacentral:rRNA from 1 species
CGUGCCAGCAGCCGCGGUAAUACGUAGGGCGCAAGCGUUGUCCGGAAUUAUUGGGCGUAAAGAGCUCGUAGGCGGUUUGUCGCGUCUGCUGUGAAAGCCCGGGGCUCAACCCCGGGUCUGCAGUGGGUACGGGCAGACUAGAGUGCAGUAGGGGAGACUGGAAUUCCUGGUGUAGCGGUGAAAUGCGCAGAUAUCAGGAGGAACACCGAUGGCGAAGGCAGGUCUCUGGGCUGUUACUGACGCUGAGGAGCGAAAGCAUGGGGAGCGAACAGGAUUAGAUACCCUGGUAGUCCAUGCCGUAAACGUUGGGCACUAGGUGUGGGGGACAUUCCACGUUCUCCGCGCCGUAGCUAACGCAUUAAGUGCCCCGCCUGGGGAGUACGGCCGCAAGGCUAAAACUCAAAGGAAUUGACGGGGGCCCGCACAAGCGGCGGAGCAUGCGGAUUAAUUCGAUGCAACGCGAAGAACCUUACCAAGGCUUGACAUUCACCGGACUACCUCAGAGAUGGGGUUUCCCUUCGGGGUCGGUGGACAGGUGGUGCAUGGUUGUCAUCAGCUCGUGUCGUGAGAUG